GUGGGGAAUUUUGGACAAUGGGGGCAACCCUGAUCCAGCCAUGCCGCGUGCGGGAAGAAGGCCUUCGGGUUGUAAACCGCUUUUGUCAGGGAAGAAAUCCUUUGGGUUAAUACCUCGGAGGGAUGACGGUACCUGAAGAAUAAGCACCGGCUAACUACGUGCCAGCAGCCGCGGUAAUACGUAGGGUGCGAGCGUUAAUCGGAAUUACUGGGCGUAAAGCGUGCGCAGGCGGUGAUGUAAGACAGUUGUGAAAUCCCCGGGCUCAACCUGGGAACUGCAUCUGUGACUGCAUUGCUGGAGUGCGGCAGAGGGGGAUGGAAUUCCGCGUGUAGCAGUGAAAUGCGUAGAUAUGCGGAGGAACACCGAUGGCGAAGGCAAUCCCCUGGGCCUGCACUGACGCUCAUGCACGAAAGCGUGGGGAGCAAACAGGAUUAGAUACCCGUGUAGUCC
rnacentral:rRNA from 1 species